rnacentral:misc_RNA from 1 species
AGUCCCACCACACCCCCAAGGGCUCUCAGCAGUGAUUAAUAUUGUCCAUAAGUGAAAACUUGAACCAGUUAUAGAGAAGAGAGCUGGCCAACUCGGUGCCAGCCGCCGCGGCUAAACCGCACGAGCUCAAGUUGAUAGUUUUCGGCGUUAAGCGUGAUUAAAGAUUUUCCUUAAUUAGAGUAAAACCUAAACUUAGCUGUAAUAAGCUUGUUAUUGAGAAAAACAAACACGAAAGUUGCUCUAACCAACUCUUGAAUACACGACAGUAGGGAUACAAACUGGGAUUAGAUACCCCACUAUGCCCCACCGUAAAAUAUACUUACACCACCAACGCCCGGGUAUUACGAGCUUUAGCUUAAAACCCAAAGGACUUGACGGUGUCCCAUCCAACUAGAGGAGCCUGUUCUAUAAUCGAUAACCCCCGUUAUACCUAACCCCUUCUUGCCAAUCAGCCUGUAUACCUCCGUCGCAAACUUACCAUAUGAAUGAUAACAGUAAGUUUAAUGAUUACACCACCAACACGUCAGGUCAAGGUGCAGCUUAUGAUGAGGAAGCAAUGGGCUACAAUUUCUAAAAUAGAACAUACGAAAUGCUGCAUGAAACACAGCCACGAAGGCGGAUUUAGUAGUAAAAAGUAAAUAAAGUGUCCUUUUUAAUAAGGCCCUGGGACGUGUACACACCGCCCGUCACCCUCUUCAACAAGUAUAGUUUAACAAAACCUCCCGCUUACACCGAGAAUAUAUCUGUGAAAACCAGAUUACUUUGAGCCUAAAAUUAAGCCUAAUACAAUUUUAUAAAACCCAUAUACUUAUACUAAACCACAAUAAAACAUUUUACAAGUUUAGUAGAGGCGAUCAAAAAACUCUUUAGCGCUUUACCUCUAGUACCGCAAGGGAAAAAUGAAAUAGUUUUGAAAUAGCCCUAAAGCAAAACACAGCAGAGAUCACAACUCGUACCUUUCGCAUCAUGGUUUAGCCAGUCUUUUUCAAGCAAAGCGAAACAUCAGUUUGAUACCCCGAAACUAAGCGAGCUACUUAAAAACAGCUUAAUAGAGCCAACCCGUCUCUGUUGCAAAAGAGUGGGAUGAUUUUUAAGUAGAGGUGAAAAGCCUACCGAGCUUAGAGAUAGCUGGUUAUUUAGGAAAAGAAUUUUAGUUCAACCUUAAGUUUACCCAUUAAUCUCACAAAAUUUUUAAACCUAAGAGCUAUUCAAAUAAGGCACAGCUUAUUUGAAAAAGGAUACAACCUAAAAAAAGGGGUAAAAAAAAUUUAACACACGACAAGUGGGCCUAAAAGCAGCCACCUUAAAGAAAGCGUUAAAGCUCCUCCUCCCUCCACCUAAAAAUACCUAAACACAUCUUCAACCCUUUAUUUCUACUAAAUGAUUCUAUACUAUUAUAGAAGCCACCAUGCUAAAACUAGUAACAAGAAAUUGAUUUUCUCUAAAAUACAAGCAUAAGCCAAAAUGGACCAACCAUUGGCUAUUAACGUCAAUUAGACUUAUAUAGUAACUACACCAGAAAAAACUAUUAAUCUCUGCGUUAACCUUACACAAGCGUAUUUCCGGAAAGAUUUAAAAAAAGAGAAGGAACUCGGCAAAUCAUAACCCCGCCUGUUUACCAAAAACAUCGCCUCUUGAAGAAUUAUAAGAGGUCCAGCCUGCCCAGUGAUAAAAUUAAACGGCCGCGGUACCCUGACCGUGCGAAGGUAGCAUAAUCACUUGUUCUCUCAAUAGGGACUUGUAUCAACGGCAUCACGAGGGUUAUACUGUCUCCUCUUUUUAAUCAGUGAAACUGACCUCCCCGUGAAGAGGCGGGGAUAUAUUUACAAGACGAGAAGACCCCAUGGAGCUUUAAACCCAAUAGCAGCCCACACUAAACUCACCCAAGAAUAGAUAAAGCAAUGCCUAUUGGUUUUGGGUUGGGGUGACCACGGAGAAAAACUAAACCUCCACGACGAAUGGACCUUAAUCCUAAUCUACGAGCUACCACUCCAAGAAUCAAUAUUUUGAUAUAAUAUGAUCCGGUAACCGAUCAACGAACCAAGUUACCCUGGGGAUAACAGCGCAAUCCAUUUCAAGAGCCCCUAUCGACAAAUGGGUUUACGACCUCGAUGUUGGAUCAGGGUAUCCCAGUGGUGCAGCCGCUACUAAAGGUUGUUUGUUCAACAAUUAAAACCCUACGUGAUCUGAGU